CUAAAUGCCCAACUCAAGCGCUGAAGUGGGGAAAAUUCUUUGGAUGCCCAACUCGAGCUGAGAAAUGCUUCCACAUCUGCAUAUUUGGAUGAUUGAACUAUCUACGGUUUUGUGAAUAGAGCUUUUGAAACAAUGUUGUCAUGGCUGGGAUUAAAGUUCUAGCGAUAUAGAUAGAAAUGUUGCUCAAGAUGCUCGAAGGAAUUCAUAACAAUCAAGUUCACAAGGAUUCAACUCCAGCAGAUACUGUGUACAGCUGACAGCAACCCACGGUGGUGUUGCACAUAUAUUCUUGAGGCAUCUGAUCCCUUAUUUGUGGAAAUUGGGAAGUCUUUUAUUGAAGAACAAAUCAAAGGUCUGUACUUCUAAAAUGAUAUUGAGUGACCGAGGUUGAUUUCGAAGAUUAUGUCUCUAGGCCCGGAUAAAAUCAGCAUGUUAUGUGAUUGUCUGGAUAUGUUUGAU